rnacentral:rRNA from 1 species
UUUGAACGCUGGCGGCAUGCCUUACACAUGCAAGUCGAACGGUAACGCGGGGGCAACCCUGGCGACGAGUGGCGAACGGGUGAGCAAUACAUCGGAACGUGUCCUGUAGUGGGGGAUAGCCCGGCGAAAGCCGGAUUAAUACCGCAUACGCACUGAGGUGGAAAGCGGGGGACCUUCGGGCCUCGCGCUGUUGGAGCGGCCGAUGUCGGAUUAGCUGGUUGGUGGGGUAAGAGCCCACCAAGGCGACGAUCCGUAGCGGGUCUGAGAGGACGGCCCGCCACACUGGAACUGAGACACGGUCAGACUCCUACGGGAGGCUGCAGUGGGGAAUUUUGGACAAUGGGGGCAACCCUGAUCCAGCCAUGCCGCGUGAGUGAAGAAGGCCUUAGGGUUGUAAAGCUCUUUCGGCCGGAACGAAAUUGGCGGGGUGAACAAUCCCGCUGGAUGACGGUACCGGAAGAAGAAGCACCGGCUAACUACGUGCCAGCAGCCGCGGUAAUACGUAGGGUGCGAGCGUUAAUCGGU